rnacentral:rRNA from 1 species
UAAAGCGUGCGCAGGCGGUUAUAUAAGACAGAUGUGAAAUCCCCGGGCCUCAACCUGGGAACUGCAUUUGUGACUGUAUAGCUGGAGUGCGGCAGAGGGGGAUGGAAUUCCGCGUGUAGCAGUGAAAUGCGUAGAUAUGCGGAGGAACACCGAUGGCGAAGGCAAUCCCCUGGGCCUGCACUGACGCUCAUGCACGAAAGCGUGGGGAGCAAACAGGAUUAGAACCCAGU